rnacentral:lncRNA from 14 species
UUUCAGACUACCAGUAUUAGUAUCCCAUUAAUGAGGCAACUAGCCAACAGGAAAAUAAAUCUUGUAGAGAUUCUUCUGGAUAUUUUUCAUCUUGUUAUUGCUAAGAAAAGGCUUAAAAAAGUGGAAGAAGCAUCACCUCAUGAAAUAGUGGAGGCAUUCAUCAGGGGAACUAGUGAAGAUGAUCCAAUAGAACAGGACUGGAAGCGUAUGGAAGGCGCUGUGGGCCAUAUUGCACUGGCUCAGCUAGCAAAUGUGCAGAAUCUUUGUAAAGGCUGUCCUGACAUCAAAUCCAAAUGCCUUUAUCUCAUUGGAAAAACUCUUCAUUUACUUGCCA